GACGAACGCUGGCGGCGUGCUUAACACAUGCAAGUCGAACGGAAAGGCCUUGCUUUUGUGGGGUGCUCGAGUGGCGAACGGGUGAGUAACACGUGAGUAACCUGCCCUUGACCUUGGGAUAACUUCAGGAAACUGGGGCUAAUACCGGAUAGGAGCUCCUGCUGCAUGGUGGGGGUUGGAAAGUUUCGGCGGUUGGGGAUGGACUCGCGGCUUAUCAGCUUGUUGGUGGGGUAGUGGCUUACCAAGGCUUUGACGGGUAGCCGGCCUGAGAGGGUGACCGGCAACAUGGGGACGGAGAUACGGCCCAGACUCCUACGGGAGGAAGCAGUGGGGAAUAUUGCACAAUGGGCGGAAGCCUGAUGCAGCAACGCCGCGUGCGGGAUGACGGCCUUCGGGUUGUAAACCGCUUUCGCCUGUGACGAAGCGUGAGUGACGGUAAUGGGUAAAGAAGCACCGGCUAACUACGU
rnacentral:rRNA from 1 species